GCGAGCGUAGUUCAGUGGUAAAACACCUCCUUGCCAAGGAGAAGAUGCGGGUUCGAUUUCCCGCUACA
rnacentral:tRNA from 1 species